AUUCCUGCGAUGGGUGGGGAGGGGUUGUUCUCAUAUGAGGAGAGAUUAAAUAGGCUGGGUCUUUGCAGAGGGCUGGAAGACAAUCUCCCUGAAUCACAUGGUGCUUGACAAAGUAACUGUGGAAACAGAUAUCUAGAAUCUGGAGUCAAUGUAUAAGAGAAUCGCCUUUCAAAACAGCAAGGAAAGGACAUUUAAUCUUACAAUGAGUGAUAAACCAUUUGAAUUUUCUACCACUGGGCUGUGAAGACUCAGUUGGUGAGCAUAUUCUAGAUAGGAAUGUAUAGCAUUUUGGAUAUUGUGGAAAUCAAGGAAUAUGAUGUUAGCAAGUGCCAAGUUAGCUAGUUCCAAUGGUUAUAUCCUUAUGGGAAAUAACACCUCAUUUAUGGAACUCUCCAUCCCUUUCCUCAGCCUUCUAACAUUUUGCAUUGACAAAAGCUUUUUCGACUCUUUUAAAUGUGCUUGACAAUUAGAGACAUUUACACACAGCUACAAAACAUGUUCACAAUAUGAAGAGUAACACACACCAAAUGCUGGAGAAACUCAGCAGCUUAGGCAGCAUCUAUGGAAAGAAAUGAGUAAUUGAUGUUUUGGGCUGAGACCCUUUAUCAAGACCUUCACCUUCCUCUGAGUCCUGAUUUCCAAACGUUGUAAUGUGAGCAAAGUCACUGGAGAGACACUGAAGCUGGUUGAUCUAGAAGUGUUUUAUUACACAAAAAUGAGCAGCAGGCAUCAUAUUGAGACAUUCGUGGGAAAGAGGUCUGUUCAGCUCAGUAUUAUAUCACAUUUUACAUGCUAAAGCUCAGAGAUAACAGCGGGCCAAUUCUGUAGUUACAAUGUAUUAACAGUGCGUCCUUUGAAUUGCAGAUAACGUUCACACCUUCUUCUUCGCACCCACACUCCAGACACCCAAACUGAAUGUUAAUCAGCAUUUUCUGGAUUUCAAUUAACUGGUGUCCAUAGCUCCAGGAAACUAUUGUUCAGGGCUGCAUUUCAAAUUUAAUCUACAUUCAUCGUUCAGGUCCAUAGAUUGGUUGGUGAAGUAAAUAUUUUCUAUAUUCCCCAGCUCCAGAAUACACCCUAUCAUCUAACAUCUACUGAAUCUCUUGUCUUCACAAUAUUAAAAUAAAGGGAAAUAUUAAUCCAAGAAUUAAAAAAUGAGAUUAAUUUUGCGCAAAACAAAUCACCUAUCAUUUUGGUAAAAGUCAGUGAGAUUGAGUGACUGGGCAAAAACAAAGCUGUCAAAAUGAAGUUUAAGUGUGAGGUGACACACUCCAGUACAUAAUUAAAAAAGACAGAUUAUUAUCUAAAUGGAGAGAGACUGAAAGUGAGUUAAGUACCGAAUGGUGUUUUAAUGGACAAAUCAUAAAAAGCUAGUGGGCAGAUCCAGCAAGCAGUUAAGAAGGGAAAUGGCAUUCCUGCAAAAGGUUUGGAGUUUAAGUAGGGAGGUUUUGUGGCAAGUGUACAGAAAGUUGUGGGAGUUGUUAUGUACUUGAAAGCUGUAUACAGUUUUGAUCUCCUUACCUAAAUAAAGGUUUUGUAAUAUUGGAGGAAGUGCAAACAAACUUUAUCAGGCUGAUUCUUGAAACAAGAGGGUUAUCCAACUAAGGUAGACUAAAAAGCUUGGACUAGUACUCGUUGACGUUUAGAAGUAUAAGGGGUGACCCUUAUUCAGGCAUGUCAGAUCCUGAAAAUUCUUGACAGGGGACAUGCUGGGAUGUUUUUACAUGCUGGGUGAGUCUCAAACAAGGGAACAUGACUACAGGAUAAGGGGCAGGUCCCGUAAAACUGAUGUAAGUAGAAAUUUCUUUUCUCAGCAGGUGGUGAAUCUCUGGAAUUCUUUGCUCCAGUGGGUACAGGUAGUUGAGUCAGGGGAGGUAUAUCCAGUGGUGGUGGAUAAAUACUCUAUCAAAUGAAGAACAAAGGAAUAUGGAGACAUACACAGAUCAGCCAUGAUUAUUUAAUAUUGAGUGAUAUGUGAAAGGACUGGACUAAUCCUGCUUCUAUUUCCUUGUGUUGUCACAUUAUCUUCAAAUGAAUAGGACCAUGUCCAAUUUCCCAACUGUGCUUUGUGCUGAGAUGAGGGACUAGAUGUGAAAUGAAUGCUGCCUAUCAGGUUACUAUGUUACAGAAUAGGACCGGAAUCAUUGCGGAGUCCAGGAUGGAGUGGGAGGACACGCGUGCUAGCAUGGUAUCUCCAGUUCAUCCUGCGCUGCUGCACUGUUGCAGAAAUCUGGAACACAUGGAUAUACAUUUUACAUCAGGUUUGCCAGCUGGCCAUUUACUUUUCACUUAUGAUUAAAAAAAGUUUUUUGUGUCCAAAGAUAUAUUAGAGAAAAACAAAAUGUUAAAUGUAGAAGGGAAUUGUAUUGCACAUCACAGCUUAGUAUCUUUAAUAUACAUGGAAACUGAGACUAGAUAUGUCUUUCAAGUCAAUGAAUCAGUUGAACAUGCACUACACUAUGUUCUGAAUUUUUAUUUCUUUAUAAUGAAGCAUCACAAACAGAAUUUGUUGCAAUAUCGUGAAGUGCAUUGGAUGCUUGUCUUCUCAAUAUCUGUCAAGUAGAACUUAACACUUUCUUCAUGUGAAUAGUUAUUAUUUAGAAGUGGUGCAGUUUUUAUGGGAGGGACUUCCUCAGAUUCUCCACCCUCUGGCUGAAAAUGGAGAUGAGGAAGAAUUUCUUUAGCCAGAAAGUGGAGAAUCUGGAGAAUUCACUAUGUAAAUUUAAAGUGGAGAUUAAUAGGUUCCUGAUUAAUUAGGGCCUGAAAGGUUAUGGGCAGAAGGCAGAGAAUGUGGUGAGAGGGAUCAUAAGUCAGUCAUGAUGGAAUAGUGGACCACACUCAGUGGGCCAAAUGGACUAAUUCUGCUGCUUGGUAUUAUAGGCUUGAUUAAAUUGAGGAAAUACAGUUUCACUUACAAUCCUUGUUUUCUGAGGGUUGACCACUCUGAUGAAGGAUUUCUUAGCACAAGAAUGGAAAUGUAUCUGAAAGGAUUCAAAAUAAAUAUUCAAGAAUAUUUGUCGAUGGCCCAAAAUGGAAUUGUAAAGCUAAUAAAUCAAACAUUUUCCUGUGACAAUAACUGAUAGUGCAAAGGAAGAUUGGAAGAAAAUGGCAAUUGCUUAUCACAGCAACUAGAAUCAUCGUUUAUUGUGCUGCUCAUCAAUCCAAUUAUGAAAGGAAGAUUUCUUCUGGUAAUUACAAAAGUCAUAUUUGUUUAAGUCUCUGAGCUGCUUGCGGAGGAGUCUUGCUAAACAUGUUGUGUUAAUGACCACAAGGCACAGGAUGUAUAAAUAAGAUAUAAAUCUAGACCUACUUGAGGGAUACAGAUAGAUGAAGAACAUUGCACUGAGAAGAUAUGAAGUGUGUUUAUCUCCAGGUCAAUGAAAGAUGGGGGAAUGUUUUGCGCAAUCAUAACCACCAGAGGUUCUGCAGAUGCCAAUGUGUCACUAUGUUCUUUGCUGUCUCUUAAUUUCAUACCUUUGAUUAAGAAAUAUGUGAAGGCUUAGGAUACUAAAGUACAUAUGACCUAACUGGAAAAGUAUUGUCACAUGACAUUCUCAAAAAUACCCUAACCAACCACAAGUUGGAUUAAGGUGAUAUCAUGCCUGUAACAGUAAGGCACAUCAAAGGCAAAAUUAGGGCAUAAUGAUCAAUGGGUGUGGGUGCUGGCAAAAGUCUCAGCAUGGUGAUCUUUUGCUCCUAUGUGCUUUCUGAAACUAUGAGUCAGGUAAUACCAGUGGACAUUGUGGGUGACUCAUUCAUCAACUUUCUGAGCAAUAGUGUCAUCCAAUAGUUUUUAACUAGAAAACUCU